GUAGCUCUUCCCAGAUAUUCAUAAUGUUUCAUAUGAAUGAAUGCAUCAAACAACAACCUCUGGAAGGCCAUUAAGAUACUUGAUUCAUGAAACAGAAUCAUCUUCAUUAUUAUUCGUUUUUUCCUUUAGAAUCAAAACUCUAAACCCAGAUUUGAAUUUAGAAAGCAGGCAGGAAAAAGACGUGAUAGAAUAUCAGUGAAACUCACCGAUCAGAGGCAGUGGAACAACAUAAAUCUCCAAGC
rnacentral:misc_RNA from 1 species